ACUUUUAGCUUCUCCUUUCCCUGGCCUGGCAGCAGGCAAGGGGCCAGAGUUGAAACACAGGUCUGGAGCAGUUGCCAAGGUCACGGAGGUAUCAAUGGUAAAAAUUCUAUGUGAAUUCAGAUCUGCUCAGUAAGAAAACUUGUGUUUUUAAAUGGCAUCACUGAAUGCAUGUACUAGGCUUUCUUCCUAUCCCUUGGCUGCUGAGUGCUGACACCUGGACCCAUUGCUGUCACCAUUAUCAUCACCAUCACCAUCACCAUGAUCAUCAUCACCAUCACCAUCACCUCAUCAUCACCAUUACCAUCACCAUGAUCAUCAUCACCAUCACCUCAUCAUCACCAUUACCAUCACCAUGAUCAUCAUCACCAUCACCAUCAUCAUCACCAUCACCAUCACCUCAUCAUCACCAUUACCAUCACCAUGAUCAUCACCAUCACCAUCAUCAUCACCAUCACCAUCACCAUCACCUCAUCAUCACCAUUACCAUCACAAUGAUCAUGAUCACCAUCACUUCAUCAUCACCAUUACCAUCACAAUGAUCAUGAUCACCAUCACUUCAUCAUCACCAUUACCAUCACCAUGAUCAUCACCAUCACCAUCACCUCAUCAUCACCAUUACCAUCACAAUGAUCAUGAUCACCAUCACUUCAUCAUCACCAUUACCAUCACCCAUCACUAUGAUGAUGAUCAUCACCACCACCAUCACCAUGAUCAUCAUUACCAUCACCAUCACCAUCACCAUCACCUUAUCAUCACCAUCACAUCACCAUGAUCAUCAUCGCCAUCACCAUCAUCAUCACCAUCACCAUCAUCAUCACCAUCACCAUCACUUCAUUAUCACCAUCACCAUCAUCAUCACCAUCACCAUCACUUCAUUAUCACCAUCACCAUGAUUAUCAUCAUCACCAUCGUCUCAUUAUCACCAUCACCAUCAUCCGCAUCAUCACCCAUUACCAUCAUCAUCACCAUCAUCAAUAUCAUCACCCUGGAGCCUUCCUAGGUGGCUUUCCCUUCUUUUCUACCUUUCUUCCUUACCUAAAAGCAGUUAUUAUACAGGAAUGAUGGGGAGGGAGAGGGGUCAUUCAAUGGACUAAGGAUGGCAAACUGUUGGGAUAGUGGCUGUGGGCAGGUGGGGAGGGACGGUAAUGGCCUUGGGCUGGACCAGGCUAUUGACUUGAGUAUCCAGGAACUCUGGCCAUCCCCACAAAUCACACAUGGCCCAGGAUGGCUCAACCUGGAGUAAGGAAAGUCACUUGGAGAAGAGUCCCCUUAAUUUAUUCUGGAAAUUCCGGCCGUCUCUCUUUGUCCCACUCUAGAUCCUGAUCUGGCUUUUAUUUUAUAUAGCCAAGAGAGUAAAAUUAGAGUCCAGUUUUCCUCUAAAUACUACACCUGAGGAGGCUUGAGUUAACACCAGAUUCCACCAUGACUAGUUAUGGAAUAGGGAGUAGGUUCCUUAACUUACAGGAAUGUCAGUUUUCUCAUCUCUAAAAUAAGAAUAACAUCCACUUUAUUAGGGUGUUGUGACAAUCAAAUGAGAGAACAUGUAUGAAGGCCCCCAGAAGGCCAUGAAGUAGCGUGGGGAUGCAUUCAGUGAGAUACCACACAUUAGGCAUUUUGUGUAGAACCUGAUAUGCAGAAAGUGCUCGAUAAAUGCAUCUGAUUACAAUGAUGAUAAUAAUAAUGUCAGUUCUCUUUACCUGGUAAAGGGGUCGCUAAUGCUCCCUUAUAUUUUUCUUAGCUGCUUCAUUGGAGAUCUCAAAGCAAUUUAGCUGUUCAUCUUGUUUCUUCCUGGAGGAGGUGGUGCAAAGAAAAGGGAUGAGAGGCCCAAAGGGUUCUGCAGGCGGAAAGCGCCGUCAAGGCUGGGUUUUCCCCAAGGUCCCCAUGGCCUCCAGGUUUCCCCUCUCCACAACUGGGACCUCCUUCCCUGUGGUUUCCAGGGAUCGCCUGGCCAGGGCUGGCUUCAGCCUAGAGCCUGGGCCAGCUUUGUUCUUUUUUCACGUUUUGGGACCAGGAGGGUGGGGGUCUCUCCAGCAGCUAAACUCAAAGCCCAAAAUGUCAAGUCAAAAGGAAGGAGGGGGUUGGGGGAAGGAAAGAAAGCAAGC
rnacentral:lncRNA from 1 species